GAAGGAUCAUUGUCGAAACUUGCCCAGCAGAACGACCCGCGACAGACCGUGAACGUGUCAUCUUGCCUGCCAAAUGAGAUACUUGGUGUGAAUUGCAGAAUCCCGCGAAUCAUCGAGUCUUUGAACGCAAGUUGCGCCCGAAGCCAUCUGGUCGAGGGCACGUCUGCCUGGGUGUCACGCAUCGUCGCCCCCAACCCCAUCGCCUCUCCAAGAGUCGAGGGCAGUCUGUGGGGCGGACAUUGGCCUCCCGUGCGCUUCCAAUUGCGGUUGGCCUAAAAGCGAGUCCUAGGCGACGAGCGCCACGACAAUCGGUGGUUACCAAACCCUCGUGUCCCGUCGUGCGUGCCUCGUCGCUCAUUUUGUGCUGGGCGACCCUGUAGCGUCGCGAUCGCGACUCUUCCAACGCGACCCCAGGUCGGGCGGGACUACCCGCCGAA
rnacentral:rRNA from 1 species